rnacentral:rRNA from 1 species
AUUGAACGCUGGCGGCAGGCCUAACACAUGCAAGUCGAGCGGAUGAAGGGAGCUUGCUCCUGGAUCCAGCGGCGGACGGGUGAGUAAUGCCUAGGAAUCUGCCUGGUAGUGGGGGAUAACGUCCGGAAACGGGCGCUGAUACCGCAUACGUCCUGCGCGAGAAAGUGGGGGAUCUUCGGACCUCACGCUCUCAGAUGAGCCUAGGCCGGAUUAGCUAGUUGGUGGGGUAAAGGCCUACCAAGGCGAGGAUCCGUAACUGGACUGAGAGGAUGAUCAGUCACACUGGAACUGAGACACGGUCCAGACUCCUACGGGAGGCAGCAGUGGGGAAUAUUGGGCAAAGGGCGAAAACCUGAUCCAGCCAGGCCGCGUGUGUGAAGAAGAUCUUCGGAUUGUAAAGCACUGUAAGUGGGGAGGAAGGGCAGUAAGUUAGUACCUUGCUGUUUUGAAGUUACCAGCAGAAUAAGCACCGGCUAACUUCGUG